rnacentral:misc_RNA from 1 species
ACUCAUUGUAAAAUUAUUAAAAGCAACUAAAAGGAAAUAUCAUAAUCAGAAUAUCAGAUAGUAUCAUGAACCAGAACCAACUAAUUUUCAUACUCAUAAUAUUACUUUGAGCUCUUGAAUCUGACAUUGCCUUCUUCUUCUGAAUGAUGCAUCUCAACGUUGGAACAACACAUCGUUAAACAACAUUUACUUUUGUUGUUAUUAUUAUCAUUCAAAAGCUCAAGUGCUUUCUUUUUAAUUUCUUGCUCUGAGUCUGGCUCCACAUUGGAACAACACAGUAAGAAGCAACCUCUUCUCUUCUUAAGAAUGAUGCAUCUCUUUAAUUUUUUAUUUUUCUUCUUCUCCAACGUUUGGAAUGCAUCGACAGCAAUGCUAUUUUCUGAGGCUGGAAGGGCAAGGUACCGAGAAUCCAUAGCAUGCA